rnacentral:rRNA from 1 species
CAGUCGCCGCGGGAAAACGUAGGUGGCAAGCGUUGUCCGGAAUUAUUGGGCGUAAAGGGCUCGCAGGCGGUUUCUUAAGUCUGAUGUGAGAGCCCCCGGCUCAACCGGGGAGGGCCAUUGGAAACUGGGAAACUUGAGUGCAGAAGAGGAGAGUGGAAUUCCACGUGUAGCGGUGAAAUGCGUAGAGAUGUGGAGGAACACCAGUGGCGAAGGCGACUCUCUGGUCUGUAACUGACGCUGAGGAGCGAAAGCGUGGGGAGCGAACAGGAUUAGAUACCCGUGUAGUCCCUGUCUCUUAUAC